rnacentral:RNase_P_RNA from 15 species
GAGGAAAGUCCGGGCUCCGCAGGGCAGGAUGCUGGGUAAUACCCAGUGGGGGCGACCCUAAGGAUAGUGCAACAGAAAUAUACCGCCUGACACUUAAUAUAUGUAGCUAUAGAUGUUACCAUAUAUUAAGUGCCGGGUAAGGGUGGGAAGGUGAGGUAAGAGCUCACCAGCAGCUAGGCGACUAGCUGGCUCUGUAAACCCCAUCUGGAGCAAGACCAAGUUAGGGACAUAAAAAGGUGGUGGCCCGUCACCGUCCCGGUUGGUAGGUCGCUAGAGCCUAUUGGCGACAAUAGGCGUAGAUAGAUGGCUGUCUAACACAGAACCCGGCUUA